rnacentral:tRNA from 1 species
GCCCGCGUGGCGAAAUGGCAGACGCGCUGGCUUCAGGAGCCAGUGACCGCAAGGUCGUGGAGGUUCAAAUCCUCCCGCGGGCA